AUUGAACGCUGGCGGCAUGCCUAACACAUGCAAGUCGAACGGCAGCACAGUAAAGGUUUCGGCCUUUAUGGGUGGCGAGUGGCGGACGGGUGAGUAAUCGGUAGGAAUCUGUCCUAGUGACCGGGACAACCCGAGGAAACUCGGGCUAAUUCCGGGCGAUAUCCAAAGAUCAAAGCAGGGGACUUUACGCGAGUAAGGCCUUGCGCACUAGGGUGCGCCUACGUCGGAUUCGCCAGUUGGUGGGGUAAAGGCCUACCAAGGCGACGAUCCGUAGCUGGUCUGAGAGGAUGAUCAGCCACAUUGGGACUGAGACACGGCCCAAACUCCUACGGGAGGCAGCAGUGGGGAAUAUUGGACAAUGGGGGCAACCCUGUUCCAGCAAUGCCGCGUGUGUGAAGAAGGCCUUCGGGUUGUAAAACACUUUAGGUAGGGAAGAAAGAUAGUUGGCGAAUAACCGAUUAUUUUGACGGUACCUACAGAAUAAGCACCGGCUAACUCUGUGCCAGCCGCCGCCGUAAUAC
rnacentral:rRNA from 1 species